rnacentral:pre_miRNA from 1 species
AGUGGUAUAGCUGGGUUAAAUGGUAGUUCCAUUCACAAUUUUCCAAGGAAUCUUCAUAUUGUUUUCCGUAUUGGCUGUACCAAUUUGCAGUCCCACCAGCAAU